CAGAGGGGGCAAGCGUUAUUCGGAAUUAUUGGGCGUAAAGGGCGCGUAGGCGGCUUUUCAAGUGACGGGUGAAAUCCCUCGGCUUAACUGAGGAACUGCCUGUCAGACUGGAAGGCUUGAGACCGGGAGAGGUGAGUGGAAUUCCCAGUGUAGCGGUGAAAUGCGUAGAUAUUGGGAGGAACACCAGUGGCGAAGGCGGCUCACUGGACCGGAACUGACGCUGAGGCGCGAAAGCGUGGGGAGCAAACAGGAUUAGAUACCCUGGUAGUCCACGCCGUAAACGAUGAGUGCUUGGUGUAGCGGGUAUCGACCCCUGCUGUGCCGAAGUCAACACAUUAAGCACUCCGCCUGGGGAGUACGGUCGCAAGACUG
rnacentral:rRNA from 1 species